CCUACGGGAGGCAGCAGUCGAGAAUCAUUCACAAUGGGGGAAACCCUGAUGGUGCGACGCCGCGUGGGGGAAUGAAGGUCUUCGGAUUGUAAACCCCUGUCAUGUGGGAGCAAAUUAAAAAGAUAGUACCACAAGAGGAAGAGACGGCUAACUCUGUGCCAGCAGCCGCGGUAAUACAGAGGUCUCAAGCGUUGUUCGGCAUCACUGGGCGUAAAGCGUGCGUAGGCUGUUUCGUAAGUCGUGUGUGAAAGGCGCGGGCUCAACCCGCGGACGGCACAUGAUACUGCGAGACUAGAGUAAGGGAGGGGGAACCGGAAUUCUCGGUGUAGCAGUGAAAUGCGUAGAUAUCGAGAGGAACACUCGUGGCGAAGGCGGGUUCCUGGACAUUAACUGACGCUGAGGCACGAAGGCCAGGGGAGCGAAAGGGAUUAGAUACCCCAGUAGUC
rnacentral:rRNA from 1 species